rnacentral:rRNA from 1 species
UACGGGGGGGGCAAGCGUUGUUCGGAAUUACUGGGCGUAAAGGGCUCGUAGGCGGCCAACUAAGUCAGACGUGAAAUCCCUCUGCUUAACCGGGGAACUGCAUCUGAUACUGGAUGGCUUGAGUUCGGGAGAGGGAUGCGGAAUUCCAGGUGUAGCGGUGAAAUGCGUAGAUAUCUGGAGGAACACCGUUGGCGAAGGCGGCAUCCUGGACCGACACUGACGCUGAGGAGCGAAAGCC